rnacentral:rRNA from 1 species
AUCGAGUUUUUGAACGCAAGUUGCGCCUGAGGCCAGCUGGCCGAGGGCACGUCCGCCUGGGCGUCAAGC